AGGCUUGUAGCUCAGGUGGUUAGAGCGCACCCCCGGAUAAGGGUGAGGUCGGUGGUUCAAGUCCACUCAGGCCUACCA
rnacentral:tRNA from 1 species